AUUGAACGCUGGCGGCAUGCCUUACACAUGCAAGUCGAACGGUAACAGGUCUUCGGAUGCUGACGAGUGGCGAACGGGUGAGUAAUACAUCGGAACGUGCCUAGUAGUGGGGGAUAACUACUCGAAAGAGUGGCUAAUACCGCAUGAGAUCUACGGAUGAAAGCAGGGGAUCGCAAGACCUUGUGCUACUAGAGCGGCCGAUGGCAGAUUAGGUAGUUGGUGGGAUAAAAGCUUACCAAGCCGACGAUCUGUAGCUGGUCUGAGAGGACGAUCAGCCACACUGGGACUGAGACACGGCCCAGACUCCUAAGGGAGGCAGCAGUGGGGAAUUUUGGACAAUGGGCGCAAGCCUGAUCCAGCAAUGCCGCGUGCAGGAUGAAGGCCUUCGGGUUGUAAACUGCUUUUGUACGGAACGAAAAGCCCUGGGUUAAUACCCUGGGGUCAUGACGGUACCGUAAGAAUAAGCACCGGCUAACUACGUGCCAGCAGCAGCCGCAGUAA
rnacentral:rRNA from 1 species